UACGGGGGGAGCAAGCGUUGUUCGGAUUUACUGGGCGUAAAGGGCGCGUAGGCGGUCAGCACAAGUCAGUUGUGAAGUCUCCGAGCUUAACUCGGAAAGGUCAACUGAUACUGUGCGACUAGAGUGCGGAAGGGGCAACUGGAAUUCUUGGUGUAGCGGUGAAAUGCGUAGAUAUCAAGAGGAACACCUGCGGCGAAGGCGGGUUGCUGGGCCGACACUGACGCUGAUGCGCGAAAGCCAGGGGAGCGAACGGG
rnacentral:rRNA from 1 species